rnacentral:tRNA from 1 species
AUUUAAAUCAGCUAAAUAAGCUAAUGAGUUCAUACCUCAUAAAUGAAUUUAUUUCUAUUUUAAAUA